AUUGAACGCUGGCGGCAGGCCUAACACAUGCAAGUCGAGCGGCAGCGGGAAAGUAGCUUGCUACUUUUGCCGGCGAGCGGCGGACGGGUGAGUAAUGCCUGGGAAAUUGCCCAGUCGAGGAGGAUAACAGUUGGAAACGACUGCUAAUACCGCAUACGCCCUACGGGGGAAAGCAGGGGACCUUCGGGCCUUGCGCGAUUGGAUAUGCCCAGGUGGGAUUAGCUUGUUGGUGAGGUAAUGGCUCACCAAGGCGACGAUCCCUAGCUGGUCUGAGAGGAUGAUCAGCCACACUGGAACUGAGACACGGUCCAGACUCCUACGGGAGGCAGCAGUAGGGAAUAUUGGACAAUGGGCGCAAGCCUGAUCCAGCCAUGCCGCGUGAGUGAAGAAGGCCCUCGGGUUGUAAAGCUCUUUUGUCCGGAAAGAAAAGCGCCCGGGGUUAAAUACCCCUGGUCGUCCUGACCGGUACCGGAAGAAUAAGCACCGGCUAACUUCGUGCCAGCAGCCGG
rnacentral:rRNA from 1 species